rnacentral:piRNA from 1 species
GUCUCUUUUAUGGUGAUAACAUAGGGUCA